AUCUUUAUGGUGCAGUGGUAGCAUGUGUCCCCGUUAUGGAUGAACGCGCGUUCGACUCCCGUUUGAGGUC